rnacentral:rRNA from 1 species
AACGAACGCUGGCGGCAGGCCUAACACAUGCAAGUCGAGCGAGGACUUCGGUUCUAGCGGCGGACGGGUGAGUAACGCGUGGGAAUGUGCCCUUCUCUACGGAAUAGCCCUGGGAAACUGGGAGUAAUACCGUAUACGCCCUAUUGGGGAAAGAUUUAUCGGAGAAGGAUUAGCCCGCGUUGGAUUAGGUAGUUGGUGGGGUAAUGGCCUACCAAGCCGACGAUCCAUAGCUGGUUUGAGAGGAUGAUCAGCCACACUGGGACUGAGACACGGCCCAGACUCCUACGGGAGGCAGCAGUGGGGAAUCUUAGACAAUGGGGGCAACCCUGAUCUAGCCAUGCCGCGUGAGUGGUGAAGGCCUUAGGGUUGUAAAGCUCUUUCAGCUGGGAAGAUAAUGACGGUACCAGCAGAAGAAGCCCCGGCUAACUCCGUG